UUGAACGCUGGCGGCAGGCCUAACACAUGCAAGUCGAACGGUAACAGGAAACAGCUUGCUGUUUCGCUGACGAGUGGCGGACGGGUGAGUAAUGUCUGGGAAACUGCCUGAUGGAGGGGGAUAACUACUGGAAACGGUAGCUAAUACCGCAUAACGUCGCAAGACCAAAGAGGGGGACCUUCGGGCCUCUUGCCAUCGGAUGUGCCCAGAUGGGAUUAGCUAGUAGGUGGGGUAACGGCUCACCUAGGCGACGAUCCCUAGCUGGUCUGAGAGGAUGACCAGCCACACUGGAACUGAGACACGGUCCAGACUCCUACGGGAGGCAGCAGUGGGGAAUAUUGCACAAUGGGCGCAAGCCUGAUGCAGCCAUGCCGCGUGUAUGAAGAAGGCCUUCGGGUUGUAAAGUACUUUCAGCGGGGAGGAAGGGAGUAAAGUUAAUACCUUUGCUCAUUGACGUUACCCGCAGAAGAAGCACCGGCUAACUCCGUGCCAGCAGCCGCGGUAAUACGGAGGGUGCAAGCGUUAAUCGGAAUUACUGGGCGUAAAGCGCACGCAGGCGGUUUGUUAAGUCAGAUGUGAAAUCCCCGGGCUCAACCUGGGAACUGCAUCUGAUACUGGCAAGCUUGAGUCUCGUAGAGGGGGGUAGAAUUCCAGGUGUAGCGGUGAAAUGCGUAGAGAUCUGGAGGAAUACCGGUGGCGAAGGCGGCCCCCUGGACGAAGACUGACGCUCAGGUGCGAAAGCGUGGGGAGCAAACAGGAUUAGAUACCCUGGUAGUCCACGCCGUAAACGAUGUCGACUUGGAGGUUGUGCCCUUGAGGCGUGGCUUCCGGAGCUAACGCGUUAAGUCGACCGCCUGGGGAGUACGGCCGCAAGGUUAAAACUCAAAUGAAUUGACGGGGGCCCGCACAAGCGGUGGAGCAUGUGGUUUAAUUCGAUGCAACGCGAAGAACCUUACCUGGUCUUGACAUCCACGGAAGUUUUCAGAGAUGAGAAUGUGCCUUCGGGAACCGUGAGACAGGUGCUGCAUGGCUGUCGUCAGCUCGUGUUGUGAAAUGUUGGGUUAAGUCCCGCAACGAGCGCAACCCUUAUCCUUUGUUGCCAGCGGUCCGGCCGGGAACUCAAAGGAGACUGCCAGUGAUAAACUGGAGGAAGGUGGGGAUGACGUCAAGUAAUCAUGGCCCUUACGACCAGGGCUACACACGUGCUACAAUGGCGCAUACAAAGAGAAGCGACCUCGCGAGAGCAAGCGGACCUCAUAAAGUGCGUCGUAGUCCGGAUUGGAGUCUGCAACUCGACUCCAUGAAGUCGGAAUCGCUAGUAAUCGUGGAUCAGAAUGCCACGGUGAAUACGUUCCCGGGCCUUGUACACACCGCCCGUCACACCAUGGGAGUGGGUUGCAAAAGAAGUAGGUAGCUUAACCUUCGGGAGGGCGCUUACCACUUUGUGAUUCAUGACUGGGGUG
rnacentral:rRNA from 1 species